rnacentral:rRNA from 1 species
GCAUAACGCGAAGAACCUUACCCACCUUUGACAUGUACGGAAGUUGCCAGAGAUGGCUUCGUGCUCGAAAGAGAGCCAUAACACAGGUGCUGCAUGGCUGUCGUCAGCUCGUGUCGUGAGAUGUUGGGUUAAGUCCCGCAACGAGCGCAACCCUUGCCAUUAGUUGCUACGAAAGGGCACUCUAAUGGGACUGCCGGUGACAAACCGGAGGAAGGUGGGGAUGACGUCAAGUCCUCAUGGCCCUUAUAGGUGGGGCUACACACGUCAUACAAUGGCCGGUACAAAGGGCAGCCAACCCGCGAGGGGGAGCCAAUCCCAUAAAGCCGGUCGUAGUCCGGAUCGCAGUCUGCAACUCGACUGCGUGAAGUCGGAAUCGCUAGUAAUCGUGAAUCGGAAUGUCACGGUGAAUACGUUCCCGGGUCUUGUACACACCG